rnacentral:rRNA from 1 species
AUUGAACGCUGGCGGCAGGCCUAACACAUGCAAGUCGAACGAGUGGCGGACGGGUGAGUAAUGUCUGGGAACCUGCCUGAUGGAGGGGGAUAACUACUGGAAACGGUAGCUAAUACCGCAUACCAUCGGAUGUGCCCAGAUGGGAUUAGCUAGUUGGUGGGGUAACGGCUCACCAAGGCGACGAUCCCUAGCUGGUGUGAGAGGAUGACCAGCCACACUGGGACUGAGACACGGCCCAGACUCCUACGGGAGGCAGCAGUGGGGAAUAUUGGACAAUGGGCGAAAGCCUGAUGCAGCCAUGCCGCGUGUAUGAAGAAGGCCUUCGGGUUGUAAAGUACUUUUAGCGGGGAGGCGGUACCCGCAGAAUAAGCACCGGCUAACUACGUGCCAGCAGCCGCGGUAAUAC